CAGUGUUACAGCUCUUUUAGAAUUUGUCUA
rfam:Homo sapiens chromosome 5, GRCh38 reference primary assembly.